GCAUUUCGCUCCAUAGAAAAUGGCCAAGAGCUCAAAAAUUCACUCCAGAAAAAAAAAGAGACGGGCAUUUGAGCUGAUCCUAGGACUCAGACAUGAACGAACAAGGAAGCUAAACACCCUGACCCUCCCCACUACUAGGUAUUUAUCCUAUUCUAAUUUCAAAUAAAUUAACACUUGAAUAACAUGUGUUUACCCUUUUACCAAUAAAUAUUCCAUCUCUUUCUGCUGAUGUCAGAACCUGGGCCUCCCCCUCUACCGGAUCCAGUUCACAUGGUGAGAAAAUGCAAUCCUUCAAAUAUGAUGUUGUAUAAUGAUUUAACCCAAUGAAAUCCAAUUUUGUGGCCUGCAAUUUCUUCUUUUGUUUUGAUGUGAAUUCAGGUAGGUUUGAACCUAAGAUCUUGCGCAUCUCUAGGGGAUAUUCACCAAGAAUAAGAGGGUCCAGAAACCUAUCAUGAUUAAACAAGUUAGCCAGCCCAGAAAAUAUGAACAUAUGGUUUGAGAGUUGACUAAAAAUAUUACAUGCUUAGGUUUAUUACUCGGAAACAAAGUUUAUCACUUGGUUUUAUAUAUGAUUAGACAUAAAAUGCUAUCUGUAUCCAUAGUUAUCAUUCUAAGGGAAAAGUAGAGUACCAUGGACCAUUGAAAGAGAGAACCCGUUCAACUGCUAAGAUGUCUGCCGUGGUAUUGUGGAAUGGUUCAUACCAUCUUGAGCAAACGUUAAUUCCAAUAUGGCCACCUUGUUUCACCUGCCAAAUGCCAAAGAUACUUGACUUUUCAUGUCAUACAGAUUUUAUUAAAAACAACUUCCAUUGAUGUUGCUUUCCAAAGUUGAUAACUCUGAUAUUUAGAAGACAUGGGAGUGUGGUUGGUUCAUACCUGAUACUUCUUUCUGUAAAUGUGAACGGCAUUUGCAUGAGAUAGUAUGAUGUUGUGACCUACUAUGUAUGUUUCCACCGAAGAAUUCCCAAAGGCACAAUUACCAAAUGGCUUAGAACAGUGACCAGGAGCGUAUCGCCCAUACAUAUAGCUUAACUUUGUGAACAAGUUUGGCUCAUUAAUAGUUAUCCAAAACUUAACUCGGUCACCAAACAUUUUGAAGCAUAUAUCUGCAAAGUAACCAAAGUCCUUCCUGGAAAGUUUUUAAUAGUCAAACAAACUAACAAAUCAAGAGAGGUGUAUUUAGGGCAAGGCAACAGACAUACUGAAUUUCUGAGCUCAACCAUCCACCAUAUCUCUUGUCCAGUUCAUGUGGAAUGUCAAAAUGAUAUAUUGUUACAAAUGGUUGCAUACCUGUUUAUGAAUGUAGUUAACAACUACGCAUAUUUAGAACUGUUCUAAAUGCAAGUAUUUGUUGAAUACCUUUCUGUAGAAGAGCAUCAAUAAUGGCAUUGUAGAAUGCUACACCAUCUGGAUUAACUUUCCCAAAUCGCCCUCCUGCAGAAAGAAUUUGAUUUAUAACUGUGUGAAGACUGAGGACAGCCCAUAUAUUUAUUAACUAACUUCACAAAACAACAAAUACACCUCAUGGAAGCGAGUGAUGGUACAGGUUGUGUAUUAAACUCACUUGGUAGAAUCCUUGUCCAUGCUAUGGAGAAUCGGUAUGAGUUAACACCCAAGGAAUGCAUCAGGUUUAUGUCUUCCUGGAACAGAGAACAUACUUCCAGUCUCAAGUGAUUGUACAGAUGUGAAAAAAAUCUAUUAGAACAUCUUUAAUAUCUAGUACGGAUUCCUCAUUUUAUCCAAUUUUCAUCCAACAUAUAUAUAGAUUCUCAUAAAUUAUUUUUACUUUGCAAAAGGAAACCGCAUACCAUGUAACGAUGAUAGUGAUCAUCAGCCGAAUCACCAUUGC
rnacentral:lncRNA from 1 species